rnacentral:rRNA from 1 species
AACAUACAGCGGUGGAUCACUUGGCUCAUGCAUCAUUGAAGAACGCAGCUAGCUGCGAGAACUAAUAUGAAUUGCGGGACACAUUGAUCAUCAACACUUCGAAUGCGACAAAAUAUGGAAAAGUUCAA